rnacentral:rRNA from 1 species
CAGUAGCCGCGGUAAUACGUAGGGUGCGAGCGUUAAUCGGAAUUACUGGGCGUAAAGCGUGCGUAGGCGGCUUCUUAAGUCGGAUGUGAAAUCCCUGAGCUUAACUUAGGAAUUGCAUUCGAUACUGGGAAGCUAGAGUAUGGGAGAGGAUGGUAGAAUUCCAGGUGUAGCGGUGAAAUGCGUAGAGAUCUGGAGGAAUACCGAUGGCGAAGGCAGCCAUCUGGCCUAAUACUGACGCUGAGGUACGAAAGCAUGGGGAGCAAACAGGAUUAGAUACCCCGGUAGUCCCUGUCUCUUAUAC